rnacentral:rRNA from 1 species
AGAGUUUGAUCCUGGCUCAGAACGAACGCUGGCGGCAUGCCUAACACAUGCAAGUCGAACGAAGGCUUCGGCCUUAGUGGCGCACGGGUGCGUAACGCGUGGGAAUCUGCCCUCUGGUACGGAAUAACUCAGGGAAACUUGAGCUAAUACCGUAUAAUGACUUCGGUCCAAAGAUUUAUCGCCUGAGGAUGAGCCCGCGUCGGAUUAGCUAGUUGGUGAGGUAAAGGCUCACCAAGGCGACGAUCCGUAGCUGGUCUGAGAGGAUGAUCAGCCACACUGGGACUGAGACACGGCCCAGACUCCUACGGGAGGCAGCAGUGGGGAAUAUUGGACAAUGGGCGCAAGCCUGAUCCAGCAAUGCCGCGUGAGUGAUGAAGGCCUUAGGGUUGUAAAGCUCUUUUACCCGGGAAGAUAAUGACUGUACCGGGAGAAUAAGCCCCGGCUAACUCCGUGCCAGCCGCCGCGGUAAUAC